GAUGAACGCUGGCGGCGUGCUUAACACAUGCAAGUCGAACGGAAAGGCCCAAGCUUGCUUGGGUACUCGAGUGGCGAACGGGUGAGUAACACGUGGGUGAUCUGCCCUGCACUUCGGGAUAAGCCUGGGAAACUGGGUCUAAUACCGGAUAGGACCACUUCUUGGAUGUUGUGGUGGAAAGUUUUUUCGGUGUGGGAUGAGCUCGCGGCCUAUCAGCUUGUUGGUGGGGUAUUGGCCUACCAAGGCGUCGACGGGUAGCCGGCCUGGGAGGGUGUACGGCCACAUUGGGCCUGAGAUACGGCCCAGACUCCUACGGGAGGCAGCAGGGGGGAAUAUUGCACAAUGGGCGCAAGCCUGAUGCAGCGACGCCGCGUGGGGGAUGACGGCCUUCGGGUUGUAAACUCCUUUCGCUAGGGACGAAGCGUUUUGUGACGGUACCUGGAGAAGAAGCACCGGCUAACUACGUG
rnacentral:rRNA from 1 species